rnacentral:rRNA from 1 species
UACGAAGGGGGCUAGCGUUGCUCGGAAUCACUGGGCGUAAAGGGUGCGUAGGCGGGUCUUUAAGUCAGGGGGGAAAUCCUGGAGCUCAACUCCAGAACUGCCUUUGAUACUGAAGAUCUUGAGUUCGGGAGAGGUGAGUGGAACUGCGAGUGUAGAGGUGAAAUUCGUAGAUAUUCGCAAGAACACCAGUGGCGAAGGCGGCUCACUGGCUCAUUACUGACGCUCAGGCGCGACAGCCAGGGGAGCAAACGGG